UACAGAGGUCUCAAGCGUUGUUCGGAUUCAUUGGGCGUAAAGGGUGUGUAGGUGGCGCGCUAAGUCGGGUGUGAAAUUUCGGAGCUUAACUCCGAAACUGCAUUCGAUACUGGCGUGCUUGAGGACUGGAGAGGAGACUGGAAUUUACGGUGUAGCAGUGAAAUGCGUAGAUAUCGUAAGGAAGACCAGUGGCGAAGGCGGGUCUCUGGACAAGUUCCUGACACUGAGACACGAAGGCCAGGGGAGCAAACGGG
rnacentral:rRNA from 1 species